rnacentral:rRNA from 1 species
CCCUAAACGGCCGCGGCACUAAAACCGUGCAAAGGUAGCACAAUCACUUGUCCAUUAAAUGAGGACCCGUAUGAAAGGCAACAUGAGAGAAAACCUGUCUCCUAAGGCUAGCCAAUGAAAUUGUACUACCAGUACAAAAACUGGUAUAUCAAAGCAAGACAAAAAGACCCUGUGGAACUUUUAACAAAUUAUUUAAACACAUAAAUAAUAGUUUCAGUUGGGACAACUUUAGAAAAAAUAAACUUCUUAAUUUACCAAGACAAACAAGUCUAAGACAACACAGACCCAGUAAUACUGAUUAACGAAACAAGCUACCCCAGGGAUAACAGCGCCACCUUCUCAAAGAGUCCAUAUCAACAAGAAGAUCUACGACCUCGAUGUUGGAUCAGGGUACCCAGACGGUGCAACAGCUGUCAAUGGUUCGUUUGUUCAACGAUUAAUACCCUACGUGAUCUGAGUUCAGA